rnacentral:rRNA from 1 species
CGUAGGGUGCAAGCGUUAUCCGGAAUUAUUGGGCGUAAAGGGCUCGUAGGCGGUUCGUCGCGUCCGGUGUGAAAGUCCAUCGCUUAACGGUGGAUCCGCGCCGGGUACGGGCGGGCUUGAGUGCGGUAGGGGAGACUGGAAUUCCCGGUGUAACGGUGGAAUGUGUAGAUAUCGGGAAGAACACCAAUGGCGAAGGCAGGUCUCUGGGCCGUUACUGACGCUGAGGAGCGAAAGCGUGGGGAGCGA